GAGUUUGAUCCUGGCUCAGAACUAACGCUUGUGGUGUGUCUUAGUCAUGCAAGUCGAACGAGAAAGUCUCCUUCGGGUGGCGAGUACAGUGGCGAACGGGUGAGCAACACGUGGGCAACCUGCCCUUGGGUUGGGGAUAACACUUCCAACGAAGUGCUAAUACCGAAUGACAAGGCGAGUUGAUAACUCGUUUUUAAAGGUGGCCUCUACUUGUAAGCUGCCGCCUAGGGAUGGGCCCGCGUCGUAUUAGCUUGUUGGUAGGGUAACUGCCUACCAAGGCGACGAUGCGUAGCCGGCCUGAGAGGGUGAACGGCCACACUGGCACUGAGAUAAGGGCCAGUCUCCUACGGGAGCCAGCAGUCUAGAAAUUUGCACAAUCGCCGAAAGGCGGAUGCAGCGACACCACGUGGAGGAUGAAGCCCCUCGGGGUGUAAACUCCUGUCAGAAGGGAAGAAGGCAUGGGCGUUAAUACCGCUCGUUGCUUGACGGUACCUUCAGAGGAAGCUCCGGCUAACUACGCGCCAGCAGCCGCGGUAAUACGUAGGGAGCGAGCGUUGUUCGGAUUUACUGGGCGUAAAGGGCACGUAGGCGGGUGUGCAAGUCUGUUGUGAAAUCCUCUGGCUCAACCAGAGAACUGCAGCCGAAACUGCACACCUUGAGUCCAGCAGAGGGAAUCGGAAUCCCAGGUGUAGCGGUGAAAUGCGUAGAUAUCUGGGAGAACAUCAGAGGCGAAGGCGGAUUCCUGGGCUGGUACUGACGCUGAGGUGCGAAAGCUAAGGGAGCGAACAGGAUUAGAUACCCUGGUAGUC
rnacentral:rRNA from 1 species